GCCACCGCCGCCGCCGCCGCUGCUGCUGCUGCUCUGGGCUCGGGACGCAGGGCGGGCAGGCGGGCGCUCGGUGAGGCUCCAGCGCCUGCGGCUGCUGCUCUCCUCCGGCGCCCCCGGCUGCGGCGCUCUGGGUCCCAGCCCCCGGCCCAGCGGCCCUGGGCCCUCGCGCUCGUAUCCCCGGUCCCGCGUCCUACCCCAGAGAACGCUCUCCGCUGGCCGAGCCGUCCCGGGCUCGCGCCCCGGGGCCAUGCAGAGGGGCCCGUGAGGGGCGCGCGGAGGCGGUGUAAGAGGAGGGAGGAGGGAGGCCGAGGAGGAGGGCGCGGGAGGCGGAGGAUGCCGCCGCCGUCUCCGCCACCGCCGCCCGCCGGCCCCCGGCGAGCCUGACUCCAGACCCGAGGAUGGAGCCGGCGCUGGGCGCUGCAGCGGCUCCCGGUGCGCCCCGGACCAGGUAGCCAUUCUCCCCUCUCCGUGCGGUUGGAAGACCUCCUUUCCUGGCUGGCCCUGCCUGGCGGGCAUCAGUGUGUGGGCUGUCUCGACUGAGCUGCCCUUUCCGCCUGGAGAUCUGGGUCUGCCGCAGGGCUACGGCACAGGCUGUGACAGCUGGCUAGACCUGGAGGCUGUGGAUUCUCCAGCUUGGAACAGCCCCUCUUUGAUCUCACAUGGUGGAGACGCAG
rnacentral:lncRNA from 1 species